CGCUGCUCAGAGCAAAGCCGCCGAAAGGCGGCGACGCAGAGCCACGGGGCUACCGCGGGUACGCCGCCACGUCCGCCGGGCCGCCAGC
rfam:Gemmatimonadetes bacterium 13_1_40CM_69_22 13_1_40cm_scaffold_2401, whole genome shotgun sequence.